CCUCCGGGUGGCUGCAGUGGGGGAUAUUGCACAAUGGGGGAAACCCUGAUGCAGCGACGCCGCGUGGGUGAAGGAGUGCUUCGGCAUGUAAAGCCCUAUCGGCAGGGAAGAAGCAAGAAGGUACCUGACUCAGAAGCACCGGCUAACUACGAGCCAGAAGCCGCGGUAAUCCGGAGGGGGCGAGCGUUAUACGGAUUCACUGGGUGGAAAGGGAGCGUAGACGGCCAGGCAAGCCAGGGGGGAAAGCCCGGGGCCCAACCCCGGGACUGCCCUUGGAACUGGGCGGCUAGAGGGCGGGAGGGGCAGGCGGAAUUCCUGGUGUAGCGGUGAAAUGCGUAGAUAUCAGGAGGAACACCGGCGGCGAAGGCGGCCUGCUGGACUGCGACUGACGUUGAGGCUCGAAAGCGUGGGGAGCGAACAGGAUUAGAUACCCCAGUAGUC
rnacentral:rRNA from 1 species